GAACUUUUAACUUGACGGAGAAAGUCCCCUGUGCGUGGCGGAAUUGCUGGGAGUCUGGCAGCGUCAGCCGCUGAACGCUUUUCGUUGCGGAUUGCGGUUUAACGUGCAGGUUAUCCUUUGCCAAGGUGAACUGUGGACGCAACUGCGCAUGUGGUCAACGUGAAGAUUUUUCAUAUCACGAGACGCAAAUUCCGGGAGAAGCAAUGGAUCCAGUAGAAUUUGUCAUCUUUGGCUGUGGGAGAAUUAGUUAAGCCCUCGGAAGUGUGGUCGACGAAAGCAGAUUCAAAAUAACUGAUUCGGCAGCGUUAAGAUUAAUGUCUUUAUGAUUGCGACAAGUUGGGAGUGUACUGUCAAUUUAUAAGAAUUAGAAGGAUAAUUAUAGAGGACGAGGUAGGGAAACUGCAAGAAUUCUGUUUGAUGGUCAUGUAGCCAUUGCUUGUUUUGCCAUGUAAAAAGCAUUUGUGGGGUAUAAACUUUCAGUGUAUACCUUGAAUUAUGUUUUUUAAUUUACUAGUAAUCUGCCUCUCAUAUGAUCUGGUAUCCCCAUUAUUUUAAUAUUUACAUUUUCAGCAUUUAAUAACUUUGCUACUCUAUUUUUUUGUUCUUACUGCUCUUUUACAUUUAAGUAUGUUACAUUAUCAUUUAAUAAUAAGACAUUAAGUGAUUCCUAAUCAAGUACUACUUGGCGGGUUUGUACUAAAAAUCUGAAUUACCCAAGUAUAAGUGUUAUCAAUACGCAUUUUUAUCAUAUCAGUUAAGUUUUGCAUAAAUUUCGACAAAGUAUA